rnacentral:rRNA from 1 species
UCCAGACUCCUACGGGAGGCAGCAGUGGGGAAUAUUGGGCAAUGGGCGCAAGCCUGACCCAGCGACGCCGCAUGAGGGAAGACGGUCUUCGGAUUGUAAACCUCUUUCAGCAGGGAAGACAAAAGGACGGUACCUGCAGAAGAAGCCACGGCUAACUACGUGCCAGCAGCCGCGGUAAUACGGAGGAUGCGAGCGUUUUCCGGAUUUAUUGGGUUUAAGGGGUGCGUAGGCGGAUCGUUAAGUCCGGGGGUAAAGUGGGGGGCCCAACCCCCUGCCCGCCAUUGAAACUGGCGAUCUUGAGUGGAAGAGAAGUAUGCGGAAUGCGUGGUGUAGCGGUGAAAUGCAUAGAUAUCACGCAGAACCCCGAUUGCGAAGGCAGCAUGCCGGCUUCCGACUGACGCUGAAGCACGAAAGCGUGGGGAUCGAACAGGAUUAAAUACCCCCGUAC